rnacentral:rRNA from 1 species
AUGCCGCGUGUAGGAAGACUGCCCUAUGGGUUGUAAACUNNNUUUUAUNNNGGGAAGAAUAAGGUCUACGUGUAGACUGAUGACGGUACCAUAAGAAUAAGCACCGGCUAACUCCGUGCCAGCAGCCGCGGUAAUACGGAGGGUGCAAGCGUUAUCCGGAAUCAUUGGGUUUAAAGGGUCCGUAGGCGGGCAUAUAAGUCAGUGGUGAAAGUCUGUGGCUCAACCAUAGAAUUGCCAUUGAUACUGUAUGUCUUGAAUUAUUGUGAAGUGGUUAGAAUAUGUAGUGUAGCGGUGAAAUGCUUAGAGAUUACAUAGAAUACCGAUUGCGAAGGCAGAUCACUAACAAUAUAUUGACGCUGAUGGACGAAAGCGUAGGUAGCGAACAGGAUUAGAUACCCUGGUAGUCCACUGCUGCCUCCCG